rnacentral:rRNA from 1 species
AGAGUUUGAUCCUGGCUCAGGACGAACGCUGGCGGCGCGCCUAACACAUGCAAGUCGAACGAGCGAGAGAGAGCUUGCUUUCUCGAGCGAGUGGCGAACGGGUGAGUAACGCGUGAGGAACCUGCCUCAAAGAGGGGGACAACAGUUGGAAACGACUGCUAAUACCGCAUAAGCCCACGGGUCGGCAUCGACCAGAGGGAAAAGGAGCAAUCCGCUUUGAGAUGGCCUCGCGUCCGAUUAGCUAGUUGGUGAGGUAACGGCCCACCAAGGCGACGAUCGGUAGCCGGACUGAGAGGUUGAACGGCCACAUUGGGACUGAGACACGGCCCAGACUCCUACGGGAGGCAGCAGUGGGGAAUAUUGCACAAUGGGGGAAACCCUGAUGCAGCGACGCCGCGUGGAGGAAGAAGGUCUUCGGAUUGUAAACUCCUGUUGUUGAGGAAGAUAAUGACGGUACUCAACAAGGAAGUGACGGCUAACUACGUGCCAGCAGCCGCGGUAAAACGUAGGUCACAAGCGUUGUCCGGAAUUACUGGGUGUAAAGGGAGCGCAGGCGGGAAGACAAGUUGGAAGUGAAAUCUAUGGGCUCAACCCAUAAACUGCUUUCAAAACUGUUUUUCUUGAGUAGUGCAGAGGUAGGCGGAAUUCCCGGUGUAGCGGUGGAAUGCGUAGAUAUCGGGAGGAACACCAGUGGCGAAGGCGGCCUACUGGGCACCAACUGACGCUGAGGCUCGAAAGUGUGGGUAGCAAACAGGAUUAGAUACCCUGGUAGUCCACACC